UCGGGAAUUUUGGGCAAUGGGCGAAAGCCUGACCCAGCAACGCCGCGUGAGGGAUGAAGUAUUUCGGUAUGUAAACCUCGAAAGAAUGGGAAGAAUAAAUGACGGUACCAUUUAUAAGCUCCGGCUAACUACGUGCCAGCAGCCGCGGUAAUACGUAGGGAGCAAGCGUUGUUCGGAUUUACUGGGCGUAAAGGGCGCGUAGGCGGCGCGGUAAGUCACUUGUGAAAUCUCUGAGCUUAACUCAGAACGGCCAAGUGAUACUGCUGUGCUAGAGAGCGGAAGAGGCAACCGGAAUUCUUGGUGUAGCGGUGAAAUGCGUAGAUAUCAAGAGGAACACCUGAGGCGAAGGCGGGUUGCUGGGCCGACACUGACGCUGAUGCGCGAAAGCCAGGGGAGCAAACG
rnacentral:rRNA from 1 species